AGUGAACGCUGGCGGCAGGCUUAACACAUGCAAGUCGAACGGCAGCACAGUAAGAGCUUGCUCUUACGGGUGGCGAGUGGCGGACGGGUGAGGAAUACAUCGGAAUCUACUUUUUCGUGGGGGAUAACGUCGGGAAACUUACGCUAAUACCGCAUACGACCUACGGGUGAAAGCAGGGGAUCUUCGGACCUUGCGCGACUGAAUGAGCUGAUGUCGGAUUAGCUCGUUGGCGGGGUAAUGGCCUAGCAAGGCGACGCAGGGUAGCCGGCCUGAGAGGAUGGACGGUCACACUGGGACUGAGACACGGCCCAGACUACUACGGGAGGCAGCAGUGGGGAAUAUUGCACAAUGGGCGUAAGCAUGAUGCAGCGAAGCCGCGUGAGGGAGGGAGGCCUUCGGGUUGUGAACCUCUUUCGCCAGUGAAGCAGGCCUGCCUCGUUUGUGGGUGGGUUGACGGUAGCUGGAGAAGAAGCGCAGGCUAACUAAGUG
rnacentral:rRNA from 1 species